UAAAUUAGAAGUUAAAGAGCAACAGGUAGCAAUUUGCCCCAAGCACUUAUCUAAUGGGCAACACCCUGAAGCAUAGUCCCUGACGAAAGCAAAUUAUUUAUUCAACAAUGGCCCACGGUUCUUUUGAAAACCACAGAGUGACCAGCUGGCUUGUAACAUGAAAUAUUAUGGUCUCAGUGAGAGCACUCACGGCUUUCCCCAGGGUUAUCAUUGAUUCUUCAGUGUUGAGAAGCAUAUAAAUUCAAGUUCACAAGAUUGUGCCUGGAAAGGUGGCCAAAACUGGAGCUUCAUGGUAAUCUAUGGAUGUUGACAUACAGUUCCCACAAACGAUAUCUUAGAAACAUUCAUAUAUAUAGUAAACUUGGGAAAAAUUGAA